UACGAAGGGGGCGAGCGUUGUUCGGAAUUAUUGGGCGUAAAGGGUGUGUAGGCUGUUUAGUAAGUUAGGAGUGAAAUGCUAAGGCUCAACCUUAGAACUGCUCUUAAAACUGCUAGACUAGAGUAUGAUAGGGGGUAACGGAAUUCCUAGUGGAGAGGUAAAAUUCUUAGAGAUUAGGAGGAACGUCGAGAGCGAAGGCAGUUACCUAGGUCAUAAAACUGACGCUGAGACACGAAAGCGUGGGGAGCAAACAGG
rnacentral:rRNA from 1 species